UACGUAGGGACCAAGCGUUGUUCGGAUUUACUGGGCGUAAAGGGCGCGUAGGCGGCGCGGUAAGUCACUUGUGAAAUCUCUGAGCUUAACUCAGAACGGCCAAGUGAUACUGCAGUGCUAGAGUGUGGAAGGGGCAUUCGGAAUUCUUGGUGUAGCGGUGAAAUGCGUAGAUAUCAAGAGGAACACCUGAGGUGAAGACGGGUUGCUGGGCCAACACUGACGCUGAGGCGCGAAAGCCAGGGGAGCAAACGGG
rnacentral:rRNA from 1 species